CGGACAUCCACCCCGGACAUCCUCCCCGGCUUGGGGAGGUCUCUGCAGCAGCCCUGGGUUAUCCAUCAGCUCUGAGCUGUCUCUUCUUUCCCGACUCACCAGGCUUUCCUGAAGGGCUGUGUAGGAACUACCUGGGCAUCCUUGCCAGCAUUACUACAGUCUGGUUCCUCUGCCAGCUGGGCAUGGAUUCCUCCCUGGAAAGCAAACUUCUAUUUUUUAUUGUGGAAGAGGAAGCGGGAGUUUCCAGUUCCUUUCCAGAUCUGCUGCUGCUGCCUAGGGGCUCCUGGAAGAGGCUGGACACUGUUUCUAUGCAGUGGGAUAUAAAACCAGUUUUCUCACU